AUUGAACGCUGGCGGCAGGCUUAACACAUGCAAGUCGAGCGGAGUGAUGGUGCUUGCACUAUCACUUAGCGGCGGACGGGUGAGUAAUGCUUAGGAAUCUGCCUAUUAGUGGGGGACAACAUCUCGAAAGGGAUGCUAAUACCGCAUACGUCCUACGGGAGAAAGUAGGGGAUCACUUGUGACCUUGCGCUAAUAGAUGAGCCCAAGUCGGAUUAGCUAGUUGGUGGGGUACAGGCCUACCAAGGCGACGAUCUGUAGCGGGUCUGAGAGGAUGGCCCGCCACAAUGGGACAGGGACAAGGGCCAGCCUCCUACGGGAGGCGGCGUUGGGGAAUAUUGGACAAUGUGGGGAACCCUUAUCCAUCCCUGCCGCGUGGGUUAAGAAGGCCUUAUGGUUGUAAAGCACUUUAAGCGAGGAGGGGGCUCUUAAGGUUAAAACCCUUGAUGAGUAGACGUUACGCGCGGAAUAAGCACCGGCUAUCUCUGUUCCAGCCGCCGCUGUAACAC
rnacentral:rRNA from 1 species